rnacentral:rRNA from 1 species
UACGUAGGGAGCAAGCGUUGUUCGGAUUUACUGGGCGUAAAGGGCGCGUAGGCGGCAGAUCAAGUCAGUUGUGAAAUCUCUGAGCUUAACUCAGAACUGUCAACUGAUACUGCUCUGCUAGAGUGCGGAAGGGGCAAUCGGAAUUCUUGGUGCAGCGGUGAAAUGCGUAGAUAUCAAGAGGAACACCUGAGGUGAAGACGGGUUGCUGGGCCGACACUGACGCUGAGUGCGCGAAAGCCAGGGGAGCAAACGGG